AUUGAACGCUGGCGGCAGGCUUAACACAUGCAAGUCGAGCGGGGGAAGGUAGCUUGCUACCGGACCUAGCGGCGGACGGGUGAGUAAUGCUUAGGAAUCUGCCUAUUAGUGGGGGACAACAUCUCGAAAGGGAUGCUAAUACCGCAUACGUCCUACGGGAGAAAGCAGGGGAUCUUCGGACCUUGCGCUAAUAGAUGAGCCUAAGUCGGAUUAGCUAGUUGGUGGGGUAAAGGCCUACCAAGGCGACGAUCUGUAGCGGGUCUGAGAGGAUGAUCCGCCACACUGGGACUGAGACACGGCCCAGACUCCUACGGGAGGCAGCAGUGGGGAAUAUUGGACAAUGGGGGGAACCCUGAUCCAGCCAUGCCGCGUGUGUGAAGAAGGCCUUAU
rnacentral:rRNA from 1 species